CAGCCGCCGCGGGAAAACGGAGGGGGCAAGCGUUAUCCGGAAUUAUUGGGCGUAAAGGGUACGUAGGCGGCCUUUUAAGCGUAGGGUAUAAGGCAAUGGCUCAACCAUUGUCCGCCCUAUGAACUGGAAGGCUUGAGUGCAGGAGAGGAAAGCGGAAUUCCUAGUGUAGCGGUGGAAUGCAUAGAUAUUAGGAGGAACAUCAGCAGCGAAGGCGGCUUUCUGGACUGCAACUGACACUGAGGUACGAAAGCGUGGGGAGCAAACAGGAUUAGAUACCCGGGUAGUCCCUGUCUCUUAUACA
rnacentral:rRNA from 1 species